CAAUGAGGAGACCUAUAAAAGAAUGAGAAUAACAGUUAGUGGAGAAGAAAACAAUCCCACCCUUUUGUCGUGAUGGAAAUAGGAGAGGCCACUGGUGGAGGGGUUACCUACUCACUUAAAGGACACGACGGACAUCUUAAGAAAAAUGGAGGGCAUACAUUUGGAACCUGACAUGUUGAUCGCUACGUGCGACGUGGAGUCUCUCUACACCUCAAUUAAACAUCAUGAUGGGUUGGAAGCCACGCAAUUCUUUUUGAGGACCACAGCUAUGGGUGGCCCGUACGGAUAUUGAGUUCCUAGACGUGAUGUUCCAGGUGGAUGCCAAUGGACAUUUGGGUACCAACCUAUACCGCAAGGGAACCUCAGUGAAUGCAUUAUUACACGCAGGCUCGUCACACCCAGGUAACUUGAUAAAGAGCAUCCCGGUGGGGCAAUUCCUGCGUGCGCGCAGGAUUUGCUCAUCUGACAGUCUGUUUGAGGUACAGGCGGAGGACCUAAGAAGAAGGUUUGAAGAGAGAGGAUAUGGGAAUCGGUGUAUAGAGACGGCCUACAAGCGAGCACGACUUUCAAAGAGAAGUGACUUACUACAUAGGAAACACACUCGACAAGAUUCGCAACAGAUCAGGUUCAUUACAGGAUAUACCAGUCUUGAUUAAAUCCGUGUCAUAUUCGGGAUGCACUGACGUGAUUUUGUGUGUUGCGGAUUGAGAGAGGUGUGUCCUAUUCCUGUCAACAGUGAGGUGUCGCUUGGGAGGAUCCAUAUAAAGAUAAUGGACACAUUGUAUGGGGUGAUCAAGACCCUGGACACAUGUGGCGAAACUGAUGACUCUUUUUCUAUUUACUGAUUGACAGUUAGGGUUUUGGUGUUUGGGGGUAAUUUACACUAUUAUUCUGGUUUACCUGUCUUAAUAUUGUCUAAAGAUGCUUGAGAUCUUGCAGGGCAUUAAUAUGAGCCCUGUACAUUAUCACUUUGCACUGCAUGCGCACUGAGCACUUUCACUUUAUCACUUUUAGCACUUUAUUUAGGGAUUUGUAUAUAUCUUGUGAUAAUAACUUAUAAAUUAUAUACGAGUAUGGAUGUCAUAUACUCAGAUAUCUAUGUACUGUAUUUAUUGAUACAUUUUAUUCUUGUAAGGAUGGCUAGGAUCUCCGUAUAUACUACAUACAUGCGUGUAUACAUAUAUGGCAUGUUUUAUAGGUGGGCUACUCAGUUCUGGCCAUGUUGUCACAAAAUUAUUAUUAUUAUUAUUAUUGUCAUCUUAAUAUUUGUAUGUAUCUGUUAAUCAUGUUAUUAAUGUCAAUGAUGAUAUACAAAAAAAAAAACUGUUUGAACUUCUAUGUAUAUUGGGUGUAUGAUGAACUGAUUCACAUUAUCAUUAAUCAUAGUUUUUGUGAUUUUGUUUUUAAUUGAUUUGGUGGAGCGAUUGGGUGGGUGACAGAUUGGUCUG